UGAGGAAUAUUGGUCAAUGGGCGGAAGCCUGAACCAGCCAUGCCGCGUGCGGGAAGAAGGCGCUACGCGUCGUAAACCGCUUUUGUCCGGGGGUAACCGCGGGGACGUGUCCCCGCCUGCAAGUACCGGACGAAUAAGGGUCGGCUAACUCCGU
rnacentral:rRNA from 1 species